rnacentral:lncRNA from 1 species
GCCGCCAAUGUGUUCCCCAAUACAUCUGUAACGGCGCGGUGCCUACUGCGUGUAUGCACAGAGCCCUGCCUUCGGUUCCCCAGCGACUGCAUAAACCAGGUUGCUGGCUGUGGCACACACCUGCAGUUCCAGUGCUCAGGAGGUACCUAGUUCCUUGCUGGGUGCCAUAGCAGUAAACCUCCCUGGGCCUCUGACGGAUUUUACCAGGACGGCAGGGAGCCGUAGAUCCCUCCUUCCCAGCCAUGCCUACCAAGUUCCUCAUUUCAGCAAGUGUUGCUCUGAAUAAUCAACACGCCAUGCUUCUCCCUCGUCAGACCUCACCACCUGGGACGCUUCCCCUGACACAGACACUUGGUGUGUGCAGGCCGGCCUCCAACACACCCUGACUUGUGAAAGACCCAGAAUCCUGCAGUUAUUCCGUCCGUGAGGAUGGACGUCUCAACUGGAUUUCAGUCUACGUUGGCUUCCUGAAGAAGCAUCAGCAAAGGAGCACAGCAGCACCGGGAUCGAUGAGCCUGCCACAGAGGACAAGCAGGCAAAGGC